CAGCAGCCGCGGUAAUACGUAGGGACCAAGCGUUGUUCGGAUUUACUGGGCGUAAAGGGCGCGUAGGCGGCGCGGUAAGUCACUUGUGAAAUCUCUGAGCUUAACUCAGAACGGCCAAGUGAUACUGCAGUGCUAGAGUGUGGAAGGGGCAAUCGGAAUUCUUGGUGUAGCGGUGAAAUGCGUAGAUAUCAAGAGGAACACCUGAGGUGAAGACGGGUUGCUGGGCCAACACUGACGCUGAGGCGCGAAAGCCAGGGGAGCAAACGGGAUUAGAUACCCCGGUAGUCCUGGCCCUAAACGAUGAAUACUUGGUGUCUGGAGUUUUAAUGCUCCGGGUGCCGUCGCUAACGUUUUUAGUAUUCCGCCUGGGGAGUACGCUCGCAAGAGUGAAACUCAAAGGAAUUGACGG
rnacentral:rRNA from 1 species